rnacentral:rRNA from 1 species
GAACGCUGGCGGCGUGCUUAACACAUGCAAGUCGAACGGAGAGGCCCUGCUUUUGUGGGGUGCUCGAGUGGCGAACGGGUGAGUAACACGUGAGUAACCUGCCCUUGACUUUGGGAUAACUUCAGGAAACUGGGGCUAAUACCGGAUAGGAGCUCCUGCUGCAUGGUGGGGGUUGGAAAGUUUCGGCGGUUGGGGAUGGACUCGCGGCUUAUCAGCUUGUUGGUGGGGUAGUGGCUUACCAAGGCUUUGACGGGUAGCCGGCCUGAGAGGGUGACCGGCCACAUUGGGACUGAGAUACGGCCCAGACUCCUACGGGAGGCAGCAGUGGGGAAUAUUGCACAAUGGGCGGAAGCCUGAUGCAGCAACGCCGCGUGCGGGAUGACGGCCUUCGGGUUGUAAACCGCUUUCGCCUGUGACGAAGCGUGAGUGACGGUAAUGGGUAAAGAAGCACCGGCUAACUACGUG